rnacentral:misc_RNA from 1 species
AGAAUUUAGGCAUGUCUUUGCCAAAUUGAGUUUUUGCCUAUGGCUUGAGCCAGUCACGAAACUAUGCUAACUUUUCAUGUCGACUUUUUAGGCAUUAUGGAAAUAUGACCUCCAUAUGUGAAAACUAGGCAUUUGGAAUUUAUUGUUGAUAAUCAUAGUUGAUAGUUUUAAGAAAAAAAAACUAGUGCUUUUGUGUCAAGGCUUACAUUGUUA